GUUAUUUUUUGUUGUUGUUGUUGUUGUUGUUGUUGUUGUCGUCGUCGUCUUCGUCGUCGUCGUCGUCGUUGUUGUCGUUGUUGUCAUUGUUCUCUCCGUUGUCAUCGUCGCUGUUGUUGUCAUUGUUGUCUUGUUCUCGUCGUUGUCAUUGUUGUCAUCGUUGUUGUCAUCGUUGUUGUUAUAGUUGUUGUUGUUAUUGUUGUCGUUGUUGACGUUGUUGU
rnacentral:lncRNA from 1 species